GGGGACUUAGCUCAGUUGGCUAGAGCGCCUGUUUUGCACGCAGGAGGUCAAGGGUUCGAUUCCCUUAGUCUCCACCA
rnacentral:tRNA from 1 species